rnacentral:rRNA from 1 species
GAUGAACGCUGGCGGCGUGCCUAACACAUGCAAGUGGAGCGACGAACCCGGACUUGUCCGGGGGCAAAGCCGCGAACGGGUGAGUAACACGUGGAUUAUCUGCCCCAAUGACCGGGACAACUCGAGGAAACUCGAGCUAAUACCGGAUGGGCUCUUCGGAGGAAAGGAAGCUUCGGCCUCCGCAUUGGGAUGAUGCCGCGGUGCAUUAGCUAGUUGGUGGGGUAAAAGCCUACCAAGGCGACGAUGCAUAGGUGGUCUGAGAGGACGAUCAGCCACACUGGAACUGAGACACGGUCCAGACUCCUACGGGAGGCAGCAGUGGGGAAUCUUGCGCAAUGCACGAAAGUGUGACGCAGCAACGCCGCGUGCGGGAAGAAGGUCUUCGGAUCGUAAACCGCUUUCAGUUGGGACGAGGGUUACACGGUGAAUAGCCGGCGUAACUGACGGUACCUUCAGAAGAAGCCCCGGCUAACUACGUGCCAGCCGCCGCCGUAA